rnacentral:rRNA from 1 species
CCUACGGGAGGCAGCAGUGGGGAAUAUUGGGCAAUGGGCGCAAGCCUGACCCAGCAACGCCGCGUGAAGGAAGAAGGCUUUCGGGUUGUAAACUUCUUUUUUCAGGGACGAAGCAAGUGACGGUACCGAACGAAUAAGCCACGGCUAACUACAUGCCAGCAGCCGCUGUAAUACGUAGGUGGCGGGCGUUAUCCGGAUUUAUUGGGGUUAAAGGGCGUGUGGGCGGGAAGGGAAGUACGGUGGGAAAACUAGGGGCUCAACCCAUAGCCUGCAUUUGAAACUGUAUUUCUUGAGUGCUGGAGAGGCAAGCGGAAUUCCGGGUGUAGCGGUGAAAUGCGUAGAUAUACGGAGGAACACCAGUGGCGAAGGCGGAUUGCUGGACAGUAACUGACGCUGAGGCGCGAAAGCGUGGGGAGCAAACAGGAUUAGAUACCCUAGUAGUC